rnacentral:misc_RNA from 1 species
AACCAUUCUCACCUGCGGCUAGACCUGCGGAGGGAUCAUUACACAAUACAAUAUGAAGGCUGUCCGCAGCUGGAGUAUUUUAUUACCCUUGUCUUUUGCGCACUUGUUGUUUCCUGGGCGGGUUCGCUCGCCACCAGGACCACCAAAUAAACCUUUUUUAUGCAGUUGCAAUCAGCGUCAGUACAAACAAUGUAAAUCAUUUACAACUUUUAACAAUGGAUCUCAGAUCGGAAGAGCACA